rnacentral:rRNA from 1 species
UACGGAGGGAGCUAGCGUUGUUCGGAAUUACUGGGCGUAAAGCGCACGUAGGCGGCUUUGUAAGUUAGAGGUGAAAGCCCGGGGCUCAACCCCGGAAUUGCCUUUAAGACUGCAUCGCUUGAAUCCGGGAGAGGUGAGUGGAAUUCCGAGUGUAGAGGUAGAAAUUCGUAGAUAUUCGGAAGAACACCAGUGGCGAAGGCGGCUCAC